rnacentral:lncRNA from 1 species
UUAUUUCUAAUAAAUGCAAGAACGGGUCAAAACUUGUAAAAAGGUAGUGAGUCGAUGGUGCGUAAGAUAAGAAUUUUCUUAAUCCGGGUAUGGGUUUUCAAGUUUAUAUGAUAGAUUGUGAAUUUACAAGCAUGUAGGAAGAAACGGGAGGUUAAACGGACAAUCGGGUUAAAAGUUAUGCGAGUUUUCGUGUGUUCGAACGAUAAAAACAACACAGCAUGAAAACCAGCAUUUGAGAGGCCGUCGCCGACGCCCCUAGGGCCGUCGCCGACGCCUCAUGCAAAACCAGUUUUCUCCGACGCUCUAAUUUGCUGUCUACGGACCCUCACCCGACGGACAAAACUAGAGGGCGUCGCCGACGGUCCGAUGAGGCGUCGGCGACGGUGCCUCUGUUCCUGAUUUCUGUUUUCGCCGUUACGCGCUCCCGGGUGAUCUUGUUUUCGACCCGUUGCUUCGUAAAGUUUCCAAAGGGCUUCGUAAACUUUGUCAGACUUAAGAAAGCACCAACCUUAUUAAAUAGGUAACUAAGAACUCAAGUUCAUGUGAGGGUGUGGAUCUAUAGACAAAUAAAUUAUGUGGUCGAAUGUGUUAGAGCGUGUUAUACGGGUGAGAAGAUAAAACUUGUUCAUAAGGAUGCUUAUAGAUAAAUUAUUGCGCGUGAUUAAAGUACAAUGAUUGAAGGUGGUUGGGUGAGUAUGACUCGAAUGCUCGUAUGGAGGCAUAUGAUUGUAGAGUGUAAGAGUUAGUUACUAAUGUUUAUGUGAAGAUGUAAGUUUUCAAUACAUUGGGGAAUAAGCGUUGCUAACUGUUUUGCUUUCGAGAAUGGUCUUAGAAAUGCAGGUAUGUAAGUGAUGUAUUCACGAAGGUUGGAGUCCUGGUGUACUGAACGAAUUCGAAGGACGUACUAUUGGGGUUAGUCAGAUCAUUAUUAUUACCAUGGGAGAUAAGUGGACAACGAUCGAGUUGAAGACCAUGGAUUGCACGGGGAAGUGGCGAUAGAUGUAAUUAUAUGUUAGUGUAGUUUUUGGUCUAUAACGAAGGAUGUAUUUAAGUUAAAGAAAGAUUGAUUUAAAUGAUUUAAGGCACAUUAGAACAACUAUAAAGGAAGAAAUUUUAUAGUUCAUUUUCCGCUGCGUCGUUUUAGUCAAAACGUGAUUAAGGGUCUAACAUAAAUCAAUGAUGAUGAGAACCCAAAGUUCUGCCAAAAGUAUACAAAGUCCCGUUUGUUU